ensembl:lncRNA
AGUCCCGAUCUGCUCCUCAGUCCAGUGGGGUUCUGGGUGAGGACUACUAGGCCAUGGUCGGCGGCGAGGGUGGACUAUCCAGGGACGAAGGGAGAGGGGACUAAGACAUUAAAGGAGUGGGGUCCACGUCCCCGCGCCAGAGCCGCCACCAUGGACAGACGCCCACCCGGACCCUCCCUAUUGUUUUGAGAAGACUGAAGCCUGAGAGAAACACUCUGACUGAAGAUUGUAUCAGGAUAUCUCAGGGGAUUCUAAAAGCCAACACAUUCUUGUCGGCAGCACUUCUCAGCGAUGGUUUCUCUCUCAAGACGUGAUGGUUUCUCUCUGUAGACGUGAUGGUUUCUCCAAUAGACGUGAUGGUUUCUCCAAUAGACGUGAUGGUUUCUCCAAUAGACGUGAUGGUUUCUCUCUCAAGACGUGAUGGUUUCUCUCUGUAGACGUGAUGUUUUCUCUCUGUAGACGUGAUGGUUUCUCUCUCUAGACGUGAUGGUUUCUCUCUCUAGACGUGAUGGUUUCUCUCUUGACGUGAUGGUUUCUCUCUCUAGAUGUGAUGGUUUCACUCUGUAGACGUGAAGGUUUCUCUCUGUAGACGUGAUGGUUUCUCCAAUAGACGUAAUAAUUUCUCUCUGUAGACGUGAUGGUUUCUCUCUGUAGACGUGAUGUUUUCUCUCUAUAGACGUGAUGUUCUCUCUAUAGACGUGAUGGUUUCUCUCUCUAGAUGUGAUGGUUUCACUC